rnacentral:rRNA from 1 species
AUUGAACGCUGGCGGCAGGCCUAACACAUGCAAGUCGAGCGGAUGAAGGGAGCUUGCUCCUGGAUUCAGCGGCGGACGGGUGAGUAAUGCCUAGGAAUCUGCCUGGUAGCGGGGGAUAACGUCCGGAAACGGGCGCUAAUACCGCAUACGUCCUGAGGGAGAAAGUGGGGGAUCUUCGGACCUCACGCUAUCAGAUGAGCCUAGGUCGGAUUAGCUAGUUGGUGGGGUAAAGGCCUACCAAGGCGACGAUCCGUAACUGGUCUGAGAGGAUGAUCAGUCACACUGGGACUGAGACACGGUCCAGACUCCUACGGGAGGCAGCAGUGGGGAAUAUUGGACAAUGGGCGAAAGCCUGAUCCAGCCAUGCCGCGUGUGUGAAGAAGGUCUUCGGAUUGUAAAGCACUUUAAGUUGGGAGGAAGGGCAGUAAGUUAAUACCUUGCUGUUUUGACGUUACCAACAGAAUAAGCACCGGCUAACUUCGUG